CGCCCUUGAGUUUGAUCAUGGCUCAGAUUGAACGCUGGCGGCAGGCCUAACACAUGCAAGUCGAGCGGAUGACAGGAGCUUGCUCCUGAAUUCAGCGGCGGACGGGUGAGUAAUGCCUAGGAAUCUGCCUGGUAGUGGGGGACAACGUUUCGAAAGGAACGCUAAUACCGCAUACGUCCUACGGGAGAAAGCAGGGGACCUUCGGGCCUUGCGCUAUCAGAUGAGCCUAGGUCGGAUUAGCUAGUUGGUGGGGUAAUGGCUCACCAAGGCGACGAUCCGUAACUGGUCUGAGAGGAUGAUCAGUCACACUGGAACUGAGACACGGUCCAGACUCCUACGGGAGGCAGCAGUGGGGAAUAUUGGACAAUGGGCGAAAGCCUGAUCCAGCCAUGGCCGCGUGUUUUAAGAAGGUCUUCGGAUUGUAAAGCACUUUAAGUUGGGAGGAAGGGUUGUAGAUUAAUACUCUGCAAUUUUGACGUUACCGACAGAAUAAGCACCGGCUAACUCUGUGCCAGCAGCCGCG
rnacentral:rRNA from 1 species